UGGGGAAUAUUGCACAAUGGGCGAAAGCCUGAUGCAGCAACGCCGCGUGAGUGAUGAAGGCCUUCGGGUUGUAAAGCUCUGUCUUCUGGGACGAUAAUGACGGUACCAGAGGAGGAAGCCACGGCUAACUACGUGCCAGCAGCCGCGGUAAUACGUAGGUGGCAAGCGUUGUCCGGAUUUACUGGGCGUAAAGGAUGCGUAGGCGGAUACUUAAGUCAGAUGUGAAAAUCCCGGGCUUAACUUGGGAACUGCAUUUGAAACUGGGUAUCUAGAGUGCGGGAGAGGAAAGUGGAAUUCCUAGUGUAGAGGUGAAAUGCGUAGAGAUUAGGAAGAACACCAGUGGCGAAGGCGACUUUCUGGACCGUAACUGACGCUGAGGCAUGAAAGCGUGGGGAGCAAACA
rnacentral:rRNA from 1 species